GACGAACGCUGGCGGCGUGCUUAACACAUGCAAGUCGAACGGAAAGGCCUCUUUCGGGGGGUACUCGAGUGGCGAACGGGUGAGUAUCACGUGAGUAACCUGCCCUUGACUUUGGGAUAACUUCAGGAAACUGGGGCUAAUACCGGAUAGGAGCUCCUGCUGCAUGGUGGGGGUUGGAAAGUUUCGGCGGUUGGGGAUGGACUCGCGGCUUAUCAGCUUGUUGGUGGGGUAGUGGCUUACCAAGGCUUUGACGGGUAGCCGGCCUGAGAGGGUGACCGGCCACAUUGGGACUGAGAUACGGCCCAGACUCCUACGGGAGGCAGCAGUGGGGAAUAUUGCACAAUGGGUGGAAGCCUGAUGCAGCAACGCCGUGUGCGGGAUGACGGCCUUCGGGUUGUAAACCGCUUUCGCUCAUGACGAAGCUUUGUGUGACGGUAGUGGGUAAAGAAGCACCGGCUAACUACGUG
rnacentral:rRNA from 1 species